CCACCCCCAGCUCUCCGCCCCGCGCCGCAGCCCCGGCCCUCCUGGCGGCAGGUGGGGGUAGUGGCCUUGGCACGUGCCGCUCAUUUCCCCCAACCUGGGCCGGCCCCUCGCCUCCCGCUUUCAGGUGGGUAGGUGGAAGAUACCUCCAUUCCAGCCCCGUCUUUCAGCGAAGGGUCCUCGCUUUCUCCCGCCCUCAUCCUGCGCGUCAAACUCGCCACCCUGCGGAUUUUGGGAACACUCAGAGGGCAGUAAAGUAACAGAUCAGGUCUUCGGAAAGGAACCUGCCCACCUAUCUCGGCUCCCUGGAACCUCGCUCGACGCUCCAGAAGCCCCAUCCCGGCCACACGCUGAUGGCGUCACCAUUGCAGGAAGAUAAAGUUCGGUUCUUACUCCUGUAAAAAAA